AGCAGCCGCGGUAAUUCCAGCUCCAAUAGCGUAUAUUAAAGUUGUUGCAGUUAAAAAGCUCGUAGUUGAAUUUCGGGAUCAAGGAAUCGGUCAUGCCUUGGUAUGUACUGGUUUUAUUGGUUCUCACCUUCUAAAGAACCAUAAUGUCAUUUAUUUGAUGUUAUGGGGAAUUAGGACUGUUACCUUAAAAAAUUAGAGUGUUUAAAGCAAGCUUACGCUUGAAUACAUUAGCAUGGAAUAAUGAAAUAGGACAUCAGAUUCUAUUUUGUUGGUUUCUAGGAUCGAUGUAAUGAUUAAUAGGGAUAGUUGGGGGCAUUAGUAUUCAAUUGUCAGAGGUGAAAUUCUUGGAUUUAUUGAAGACUAACUACUGCGAAAGCAUUUGCCAAGGAUGUUUUCAUUAAUCAAGAACGAAAGUUAGGGGAUCGAAGACGAUCAGAUACCGUCGUAGUCUUAACCAUAAACUAUGCCGACUAGGGAUCGGAUGAUGUUAAUUUUUAAUGACUCAUUCGGCACCUUACGG
rnacentral:rRNA from 1 species